rnacentral:misc_RNA from 1 species
UCAUGUUGCAAAUCUAUUUAAUCCACACGACUCUGGGCAACGGAUAUCUCGGCUCUUGCAUCGGUGAAGAACGCAGCGAAAUGCGAUACCUGGUGUGAAUUGCAGAAUCCCGUGAACCAUCGAGUGUUUGAACGCAAGUUGCGCCCGAGGCCACUCGGCCGAGGGCACGCCUGCCUGGGCGUCACGCCAAAAGAUGCUCCCAACCACCCUCCCCGGGAAUCGGGAUGCGGCAUCUUGUCCCUCGUCUUGCAAGGGGCGAUGCACCAAAGAUUGGGCUGCCAGUGUACCGCGCCGGACACAGCGCAUGGUGGGCGUCCUCGCUUUAUCAACAGAGUGCAUCCGACGCGCAGCCGGCAU